AUUGAACGCUGGCGGCAGGCCUAACACAUGCAAGUCGAGCGGAUGAAGGGAGCUUGCUCCUGGAUUCAGCGGCGGACGGGUGAGUAAUGCCUAGGAAUCUGCCUGGUAGUGGGGGAUAACGUCCGGAAACGGGCGCUAAUACCGCAUACGUCCUGAGGGAGAAAGUGGGGGAUCUUCGGACCUCACGCUAUCAGAUGAGCCUAGGUCGGAUUAGCUAGUUGGUGGGGUAAAGGCCUACCAAGGCGACGAUCCGUAACUGGUCUGAGAGGAUGAUCAGUCACAGUGGACCUGAAACCGGUCCAAGCCCCCACGGGAGGCACGCGGGGGGAAAUUUUGGACAGGGGGGGAAGUCUUGCUCCGCCCGGCCGGGUUGGGUAAAGAGGGUUUGGGAUUUGAAAACAAUUUUAAGUGGGGAGAAAGGCAAAUAAUUUAAUACUUUCUUUUUUUGCGUUACCAAAAAAAAUAACCCCGGGCAACGUUGGUC
rnacentral:rRNA from 1 species